ACUGUGAAGUCACAAGAGGCCCUGAGCUCUGUGGGCCCCAGGUGCCCCGGGAAAACUUGGGGGAGAAUGGGCAUCCCACCCCAGCACUUUCUAGGAAGAAGGGCAGCAUUUUGAAGGGCUGGAAGUAGAGGAAGGAGGUUGCGGGUAGAAGACUCCAUACUUUCUGUGACGCCUAUUCCUUAGUCAGAGGCAUGGCUUGCCUGGGCCUCUGGGUGCAGCUGCACAGAUUCAAGCAGCCUGAAGGAAAGGUGACUGACAGCUAAUGAUCUGAAAAGAACUUGUCUCAACUCAACGUCAUUCCUGGCAUUAUCGAACAAAGCAAUAAACCUCACAGAAUGGAAGCUACAGUGUCCAGGGCCAGCUCUGCUAAGGUAACCAAAGACAGAGAAGGAGGCAAAAGUGACAGAAGAAACUCAUGGGAAACCAACAGAAAUAUAAUGGCUUUGGCAGAAAUGCAAUUAUCAAUUGGGAGCUUGUGAUGAAUGUUUUCUCAGUAUCCUAUGCUGAAAACAGGUAGAUACUAAUAUCGAUCUUCAAGGGAGGGCUGUUGAGUAUUGAAUAAGACAAAAACAUGGAAGCAAUCAGCACCAUGCUGAACAACAGAAGUUUCAACAUUCUGCCAACAGAGUAACUCCUGGAAGAUUGGCACAGAAGAAGGCACAAGGAGAGCCUUUAUAUAACCAAAGAUAUUUUUGGACCAUGAAUUCAGAAAUUCUCGGAGCCACCCAUCAGUGCCUGAGCUUCAGUGAGUCCAUAUCCCAUGUCACCCACGGCAAAGGAGACUCUAAGACUUCUGAAGAGUUUCUUGCUUCUUUCCUGUGGGGCAGUGACUCCACUUCCCAGCAGUAAUGGAAUAUCCUGAAUUAGCUACAUUAAUGUUAGAACCAUUUGGACCUCACCCAGGACUUCAACUACAUUAUGCUAAAGUUACAGAACCCAAAUUUGGCAACUGUCUGCAUCUGAACAACAGAAGUUUCAACAUUCUGCCAACAGAGUAACUCCUGGACGAUUGGCACAGAAGAAGGCACAAGGCAAAUACCCAUCUCUGUACACCCUGUGCUACUGUGUCAUGUGCUGCUCCAGGCAACUCCAAUGGAUUGGCCACCCUGGCCAAUGUGCCCUCCAAACACCAGCACUGAGUAGAAAGAGGCUCUGAUUCAUGAAAUGUGAAUUUAUGACAGUUGCCACUCUUAAAAAAAAAAACAAACAGACAGAACUUGAGCAAUACAUGACUGAUGCAUUCUCAGCCUGCUUCCUGUGUUCCAUCUGUCUUUCUGCCAGUGCAUUCACCCUCCAGUGAAACUUUCUACAUUCCACAUUUUCUAUCAAGAAAAGAAAGAGGUUGUAUUGUGAGGUAAGAGGCACACACACGGACUUCCUUCAGUAGCUGCAAUCCUUGCUAUAGGUCAGGCAUCAAGACAAUUCCACUUUACAGGCCUGGAUUUUGGAGAAAGAAAGGUUCUAGUAUGUUACGUUUAUGUUCCCCUGCUUUCUACAAUCCUGUUCAAAGAGUUGCUGACUUAACCACAGAGAGGAUUCCAGAACCUGAGACACAGAAUAAACUUGAGCAAUCAUAGUCCAUCCACUUCAUUGUCUCAUCAAAAACCAAAGGUCCAGUGAAGCUCUGGAACUCAACGCUGUAAAGGAGCGAAGGAGCUUCUAUACAGAGCCUGGAUGCCUGUCUCCUUAUCCUACUUCAGUGGACUUGACUGCAAUCCGGAUUAUGCUGUUUUCUAAGCAUUUAAAAUAAAAUAAAAAGUAUAAUAGUGUGAUAAGUUCUUUCACAAAGCAAGCAAUCACAUUUAUGUUUCUACUUACAUUUGGGUUUUCCAAAUAUGUGUGUGUGUGUGUGUGUGUGUGUGUGUGUGUGUAUGUAGACUUUAAACAUGGUGCAUCCAUCAUGUUGCACUAAAUCAAAACCACCAAAUAAUGAUGUAGAACUAAUAAAUCAAAACCAUCAAAUAAUGACAUAGAAAUCCAAUUCUCCCACCUUACACCCAUUAAGAUGGCUACU
rnacentral:lncRNA from 1 species